rnacentral:rRNA from 1 species
UCGAACGGUAACAGGAAACAGCUUGCUGUUUCGCUGACGAGUGGCGGACGGGUGAGUAAUGUCUGGGAAACUGCCUGAUGGAGGGGGAUAACUACUGGAAACGGUAGCUAAUACCGCAUAACGUCGCAAGACCAAAGAGGGGGACCUUCGGGCCUCUUGCCAUCGGAUGUGCCCAGAUGGGAUUAGCUUGUAGGUGGGGUAACGGCUCACCUAGGCGACGAUCCCUAGCUGGUCUGAGAGGAUGACCAGCCACACUGGAACUGAGACACGGUCCAGACUCCUACGGGAGGCAGCAGUGGGGAAUAUUGCACAAUGGGCGCAAGCCUGAUGCAGCCAUGCCGCGUGUAUGAAGAAGGCCUUCGGGUUGUAAAGUACUUUCAGCGGGGAGGAAGGGAGUAAAGUUAAUACCUUUGCUCAUUGACGUUACCCGCAGAAGAAGCACCGGCUAACUCCGUGCCAGCAGCCGCGGUAAUACGGAGGGUGCAAGCGUUAAUCGGAAUUACUGGGCGUAAAGCGCACGCAGGCGGUUUGUUAAGUCAGAUGUGAAAUCCCCGGGCUCAACCUGGGAACUGCAUCUGAUACUGGCAAGCUUGAGUCUCGUAGAGGGGGGUAGAAUUCCAGGUGUAGCGGUGAAAUGCGUAGAGAUCUGGAGGAAUACCGGUGGCGAAGGCGGCCCCCUGGACGAAGACUGACGCUCAGGUGCGAAAGCGUGGGGGAGCAAACAGGAUUAGAUACCCUGGUAGUCCACGCCGUAAACGAUGUC